GGAACAUUUAAUAAACUGUGUGGUCCUGACUCCUGUAGUGUCCCCUUGAGGUAUUUGCUUUGCCUUUUGACCUGAGAGGAGCCGGAAAGGUCCCGGUACCAAUUUCGACUGUGACCGUUUAGUGUAUUUUGUUCCAGUGGCCACUGUUGGUGCUGUCGAACACUACGCUUCGAGCUGCUGGGUAAGAGCAAGGUACCCUGGGUAAGAGUUGUCAGAGAUGGGUGUGUGGGCACGAGGUCACACUACUCUCACAACAUACUGACAGUGGAUCACGAUUUUGGGGCAUGUGCCAUGACGGUGUGAACAGUAUCAUCACCUGCAUACCCUCACUGGAGAUAUGUGCCCAAUCAUACACUCUUAAAUUGUUAAAGAUUUUGCUUGUGUAGCACUUGCUAAGAAAGUUAAUUUUAUUUUGUUUAGUAGGUUAGUUGGCUAAAGAAGCUGCAUAAUUCAAUGCAAUUGCGAAAUUCUUUCAUUGAACUUAAAAUACUGAUUCUCAGUGAAUCUAUAAUUUCAUAACUUGAUAUAAAAAAAUAGGUUGGGACAAAUUCAACAA